UACAGAGGGUGCAAGCGUUGUUCGGAAUUAUUGGGCGUAAAGCGCGUGUAGGCGGCUUGGCAAGUCGGGUGUGAAAUCCCUCAGCUUAACUGAGGAAGUGCGCCCGAAACUGCCGAGCUUGAGUACCGGAGAGGGUGGCGGAAUUCCCCAAGUAGAGGUGAAAUUCGUAGAUAUGGGGAGGAACACCGAUGGCGAAGGCGGCCACCUGGACGGAUACUGACGCUGAGACGCGAAAGCGUGGGGAGCAAACAGG
rnacentral:rRNA from 1 species